CUUGGAACAAUGUGAAAGUCUUCUUUUGAUGCGCGGUUAACAUCUUACGCUACACCUUAACGGUAUCGCGUACAAAUAACAUUUCCAACGAAACACUGCAAUGGUACAUUUAUUUUCGCAAACUUGUUAGAACAGUGACAGGAAACGUCGUAAGAGGAAUAACAGCAAGCACGACGUACGCAAUUUUUUAUUACCAUCGAGCAUUAAACGGCUACGUUGUGAACUAAUUAUAUAUAAAACGUUGAUUUAUUAAAACAUUUAUCCACUACUACGCAUCGAGGCGUGUCUUACGAUAUUGGACAAGUUUAUCUCGCGAUGCGUUUACUUUAAAGUCACAAUCCCCGUCAUUGACCGACAUUAUGCCAAGUUCUUUUCUUCGAAUAAAGUACUGAUAAUUGUGGUCUACUAAAUACUGACGAUUUAUCAUGGGUAUAAAUCGGUGAUUCGUAACGAUAUUCAAUUAUAUCGUUAAUUCAUCACUAUACUAUAUCAAAUAGGAAGAUGAUACUUUUAUCGUUUCUCGAUGUCGAUAAGC